rnacentral:tRNA from 7 species
GCCGGGAUGUUGGAAUGGUAGACAAGCAGGACUUAAAAUCCUGUGUCCCAAAAGGGCGUGAGGGUUCGAGUCCCUCUCCCGGCA